ensembl:lncRNA
CACUUUUCUUUCCAUUGUUUGUUGGACUUUAGUUUAUCAGCUUUUCAAUAACAUUCACUUUUACUUCAGUUUCAGAUGUUUUUGUCUUUGUUGGUCCACCUUCAGUCCAAAUCUUGACUAAAUGUAAAAAAAAAAAGAAAAAAAGAAAACCCAAAUCACUCCAAAUGUAUCUGCAAUUAUAAGUUUAUUGUAAGACAAUGGUGGCAAAAUAUUAUUGAGGAGCAGAUUCACUCUAGAAAUUAAAAACAAUCAUCCAUCUCCAUGUUUCCUGUCUUCCUGUUUACGUGCCCGUCUAAUAAAGGUAAAAUAGAGAAGCUUUUAAAAAAGUGAUGACCGUUGUGGAUGAUUCAUAAAUCAAACUGUUCACACAGCUGGGCGUCUCAGUAUGAGCACUCUACAACUUAAUUAAAAACAACCAUGUGAUACAUUUACUCAACAGUUGACUUUUUCUGAAGACACCAGAGCGCUUCUGUUUGCAUAUGUUAAUAUCAUUAUAUUAUCAUCAUCUACUAGCUUACAGUCCAGGGAUGCACCAAUUAAGAAUUUCAGGGCUGAUACUGUUUACAGUUUGUUUCAAUGAUGUUAACUCGUUUCUUUCUUUUGUUCUCCACACUUGGUGCCAAAGAAGAACCUUUCAUUAUGAAUAAUUAAAUAACAUUCACUACAUUGCCAAAAGUAUUCAACCUCUAAUCCAAAUCACUGACUCGUGAAAAAAAAUUAUGAAAGUGAAUUGCAGAUGCGAGAACCACAAACUAACACCAGCCACUGUAAUAUGUUCAAAAAGGUGAAUCUCAACCGUCAAUGUUAGGUUGAUAAAUCGAUUAAUGCCGAUAUAUAUAAAAUCUACACAUAAUAAAGUGCUAAUAUUUUCUGCAUGUCACAUUUUACUACUAAUAUUUAUAAAGCCGGAGCUGUAGGAGAAACCAACAUGUGACCAAAAUCUCUACUCCUCUGCAGCGCAAAAGAGCAAUGUUAUGCAGUCUUCCAGCAUAAUGAAUACCUCUCACAUCCCACUUAGUAUGAGUGCUUUUAAGUUUGAGGUUAAUUUUCAGUUAAACUUCUAGGAGUGAUUCUGAAAUGCUUAAUAGGCAAAAGCUCAAGUGUUUUUUUAGCAGUCUGAGGUGACACUGAAUGCUAAAUGACUUUCAUUUUAAUGUGACCAUCAGUUACGCUGACUUAAACGGCUUUUAAGAUUGUUCUUUUUUGGUCUUUAAUACUGUUGACUCAGUGAAAUGGAGUUUGUAUUACGUGUCAUUGGUUAAAUGGUUUGCUCUUUGUCUUUCUUUCUCUUGUGCCAGGUUGCAAAUGAUGCAGAGAAGGAUGUCAGAGAUAAAAGCCAGCAAGUACAGAAGACACCUUAGAAGUCCAUCAGUGUGUGUGUGUGUGAGUGUGUGUGUGUGUGUGGUAAUUUUUAAAAGCAAAGCUGUUUUACUCUCUGCCAAAAAGACACUGUCAGAUUAACUGUAUCUUUUUAUGUACUUGCCCCAUAUUUUAAUUGGAUAUGGGUCAGCGUGGCUCUUUUUAUGCACUGUUCUCAUUACAUUUUUGGGUCACUCCGUUUUUUACUCUGGGAACCUUGUAAAUAAAUCAUAAAUGUCCUUGA